UUGACGCACCGUUUUUUCCUACUUAAGCUCUACAUCUUCCUCUUCAUUUCCCCUCAAACGGUACCUCCCGAGAGCCCCCAGGCUGCUCGAAUUUUCGCUCGCAAGUCCGCUGUACCAUCACACUAAAUCGUCAAUUCCGCGACGACGCUAUAUUUCGACGGUAGUCUCCGGCGAGCGAUUUCCGGCGAACUACUGCAGCUCGACGUCCGCGACUUCGUCAACGAGUUUCCCUUGUCAAUCCGAGCUCCAUAGUCUGCCCCACCAUCGCCAAGGAGCACCGGAACGUCAGGGCCGGCGACAUCAGACGACAUUGCUGUGUGCGUCCCAUUGCGACUGUGACAACUGCAACCUUUGUGACUGCGAAGAUUGCAACUCCUCCCACUGAAAAAGG